AGUGUACUUUGUAUUCACAGUACUGAUGGAGAGCAUGAGCGCAGAUAUCUGUACAGCGCUACACGUGCAAAGGAAGCCGGGACCCGGUCAAUAGGAAACCCUGCACGGGCACAUUCCUCACACUUGUUCGCUAAGGGGGACAGAUAUUGGUGAAAUAUUUGAGUCACACAAAUGUUAAAGCUCAUGAAACAAGCAUGAUGAAGUCCAUGAGUGAGGAAAUAAAUGGAAUUAAGAAGAAAUCAUUAAGUAAAUCCAGAAGCAGGACAAUCUAUAAGACAACUGUCACUAGUUCAUAAGAAAUUGAUGUCACAAAAUACAAAAGUUGAAGCAAGCUGAGAGUCGAAAAGUGACUAAGAAGAUAUAACAACCAAAUUCAACGAGUGAAAUUAAAUUGUAUCAUAUAUCUAAAAAUAUUUAUGAAGUCAUUGUUGGAAAAACUCAAAGUAUAAAUAUACUAUCUAGGCAUGAAGUAUCAUGGAAUCUAUACGUGAAUUGCAAGUGAUUUAAAAUAAAUAAAAGAGAGACAGAGAAAAAGAGAGAGGGGGAGAGUCAGCAAAUAAGGCUCGAGGUCAACCGUGAAAUCUGUGCAGAAGGAGUAAAAUUAUUUAUUUAACUAUUUUAUAUACUUAAGUGUUUUGAUAAUAAAAAUUGAGGGAAAAUCAACAGCAUAAUUUCAACAAUAUCCAAAAAGUAAGUUUAAAUUUCUACUCACACACGCAAAAAGCAAAUACUGUACUUUGUAAAUAAUAACACAAACUGGGGACAAAUUUUAUUUUACAAGCAGUCAUAAUCGAUAUGUUGCUGGAACCACUCGUUGACAGUCAAGGGGAUUCUAAUUUGCUACUUGCUCUAAAGAGCCCUUAACAUUUUGUAUCAGGAAAGGUGCAUUAUUCAAUGUGUGUAAAAUAAAAGGCAUGUCUUCGUAGUUAAAAAUUCAGAGAUUAUCUGUCUAUUUUGAAAACCAAUCACUUCCUUCUUUGGCCACAUUUCUUGAUUCAUAUUAUAAGCAUGAGCUUUAAUCAGGCAGCAGGCGUAUGAGAAACACCAGAAGUAAAAGAUCUAAUGAGGAUAACAAUCCAAACUCAAUUCAGGAAAUGUUCGGAAAGCAUCUUCCCUGAGCUACGAACCCUUUUACUUUGUGAGAUUAUUUGAAUCAAUCUACUUGACCACAAACAAUGAAAUGUUUCAAGUCCAAGUGUGGAAAAAAA